rnacentral:rRNA from 1 species
GACGAACGCUGGCGGCGUGCUUAACACAUGCAAGUCGAACGGACCUGUUUUUGAAGCGCUUCGGCGUGGAGGGAGCGGGUUAGUGGCGCACGGGUGAGUAAUGCGCGAGGACCUGCCCGCGGGAGGGGGACAGCAGUUGGAAACGGCUGGUGAUACCCCGUAAGCCGGGAGGUGAAAGGGCGGAGACGCCCGCCUGCGGAUGGACUCGCGUCCUAUCAGCUAGUUGGUGAGGCAACGGCUCACCAAGGCGACGACGGGUAGCCGGCCUGAGAGGGUGUCCGGCCACACUGGAACUGAGACACGGUCCAGACUCCUACGGGAGGCAGCAGUGGGGAAUUUUGGGCAAUGGGGGAGACCCUGACCCAGCGACGCCGCGUGAGGGACGAAGGCCCUUGGGUCGUAAACCUCUUUUGCAGGGGAAGAAGUAGAUGACGGUACCUUGCGAAUAAGUCCCGGCUAACUACGUG